ensembl:lncRNA
AGACAGCCAAGGGUUACUUUCCUAUAGAUGUCAUGUAUCCAGACUUCUGCUGCCAUUUCUACACUGGCUUAAUAUCAGUGGUACUGGUAUCAGGUACAUUGUGCCUGCGAGCACGUGGUAGCCCAACAAGAUAUCUUCUAAAAAUACCACUAGUCACCAUGGCGAUCCCUCUAAAAAUUGUAACUGUGUACAACAGCCAUACAUCACAGCUGACACUGUUUAUCCAGGUAGCGUUUUGAUGAUUUUGUCCACAAAAUAAAAGCUCCUGACACUACUGCCCAUGUAUACAACAAUGAAGGGAGUUGAAAUCUAUCACAUGGUAAAGAAGUUCUUUGUGGAGAAAAAGUGGGUGGGGCUGCUCGAGGAUACUGAAAUCAAAUCACUUCAUGCAAGUGGACAUGAGAGCGUUGGUGAGAGUGCAACAUUCAAUUUGCAUGCUGGACAGAUUAAAAUCCUAAUGUUGCAAAAUGACCUCCACCUCAAAGCCCAUCACGGUGUACCACACUUUUGUUGCCUUAUGGACACAGAAUGAACAAAGGUGUAUGCACAGCAGCUAUGAAUGUUGUCUACGUGUUUUGGUUCAACCUACCUCUGUGUAUCAUCCUUUUCUGACAUAAAUUUGAUCAAGAGCAAACACAGGAUAUGCUUGUGAGUUAAAAUGAAACCAGCAUCUUUCUUUAACCCUACAUGUAACCUAUCGUGCCAUUCAAUUGUUUGUCCUACAAAUGUAAUAAAGUACAAAAGUGAAAUGAAUUUAAGAUUUAAUAAUGUUCUAAGAAAUGUUACAGCAGUCAUUUCUACAACAUUAUAAUAGGUGUGAUAUCAAGCACAAGGCUACAAAUCAAUAACAGAGAGAAAAACACUGAAAAAGAUAAAACUACAAAGGUUGAAAGCAAUUGGUGUACUUUUUUUAGAACAACACUAAACAGAGAGAAGAAACAACUUGGUAACAUGAACAAUGACAUAACAUGGAUAACAAAUAGAGGGAAACAGGACAGAAGACAGGACAAAGCAAGAUUCAGGAAACAGGAUAUAAGUGGAAAUAAAACAACAGAAAAAGUAAAAGGUAAAAAAGUGUAAAUAAAAAUAAUAACAAUAAAAUCACAAUAACAAUAAACAAACAAAUUACAAAAAGUAAAAACUAGUAAAAACUAGCAGAGACUAACCUUUUUUAAAAACCGGGGAAACUUAUGGAAUUAUGGAUUAGACAAAGAGGAAACAGCACACACGGGAGAAAUAAUUAGACAUGAAAACAAAAAACAAGAACAACAUGAAAAAAGAAGAAAAGAAGAAAACUUCCGUGACACCACGAAUAGAGGUCAAAAGACAAAAAGUAAAGCAUAAAACAAACAAAAACUAAAGAGGCAGGAUACAUACAGAGACAAACCAUAAUGACCUGGGUAAAAAGAUGAGGAAACACGAACUAGACAAUGGGAAAACAAAAAAAAAGUGACUGCUUCAGUCUCAGCUGACUACAGGUUUCCCCAGUCUUAGAAAUAGUACAUUUGCAUAAUGACUAAAACUAGCUAUUAGUACUAUUAGCUGGUACUAUUAGUACCAUUCACAGAGUUGGGGAAUGGCUGCUAUCACAGGAUUGUAAGAUGGCGAAAGAUGUACCCUUAGGCUCCCUUCCCAAUUCAGAGAUGUUCUUUCUCUUUUCACAUAAAAAGCCUCUUUGACUCCCCACUCAAACCAGCGUUCCUCCCUGUUCAGGAUGUGUACAUCCUCAUCAUUGAAAGAGUGUCCACUGGCCUGUAGGUGUAAAUAGACUCUAGAGUCCUGGCCUGACAAGGUAGAUCUUCAGUGUUGUGCCAUCUGCUUAGAGGUUCUUUGGUUUUCCCGAUGUAUAAAUCAUGGCAAUCCUCCCGGCACAUAACGGUGUACGCUAUAUUACUCUGUUUGUGCCAGGGACCCGAUCCUUGUUCACAAAGUGACAACCAACCCAUUGUUCAUUCACUGGACUAGUUUCAGUCAUUGUGCAAAUGUACUGUUUCUAAGGUUGGAGAAACCUGCAGUCAGCUGAGACUGAAGAAGUCACUUGGAUGAGUGACGAAACAUUUC